rnacentral:rRNA from 1 species
AGCUUGCUCAUGGUGGCGAGUGGCGAACGGGUGAGUAAUAUAUCGGAACGUACCCUGGAGUGGGGGAUAACGUAGCGAAAGUUACGCUAAUACCGCAUACGAUCUACGGAUGAAAGUGGGGGAUCGCAAGACCUCAUGCUCGUGGAGCGGCCGAUAUCUGAUUAGCUAGUUGGUAGGGUAAAAGCCUACCAAGGCAUCGAUCAGUAGCUGGUCUGAGAGGACGACCAGCCACACUGGAACUGAGACACGGUCCAGACUCCUACGGGAGGCAGCAGUGGGGAAUUUUGGACAAUGGGCGAAAGCCUGAUCCAGCAAUGCCGCGUGAGUGAAGAAGGCCUUCGGGUUGUAAAGCUCUUUUGUCAGGGAAGAAACGGUGAGAGCUAAUAUCUUUUGCUAAUGACGGUACCUGAAGAAUAAGCACCGGCUAACUACGUGCCAGCAGCCGCGGUAAUACGUAGGGUGCAAGCGUUAAUCGGAAUUACUGGGCGUAAAGCGUGCGCAGGCGGUUUUGUAAGUCUGAUGUGAAAUCCCCGGGCUCAACCUGGGAAUUGCAUUGGAGACUGCAAGGCUAGAAUCUGGCAGAGGGGGGUAGAAUUCCACGUGUAGCAGUGAAAUGCGUAGAUAUGUGGAGGAACACCGAUGGCGAAGGCAGCCCCCUGGGUCAAGAUUGACGCUCAUGCACGAAAGCGUGGGGAGCAAACAGGAUUAGAUACCCUGGUAGUCCACGCCCUAAACGAUGUCUACUAGUUGUCGGGUCUUAAUUGACUUGGUAACGCAGCUAACGCGUGAAGUAGACCGCCUGGGGAGUACGGUCGCAAGAUUAAAACUCAAAGGAAUUGACGGGGACCCGCACAAGCGGUGGAUGAUGUGGAUUAAUUCGAUGCAACGCGAAAAACCUUACCUACCCUUGACAUGGCUGGAAUCCCCGAGAGAUUGGGGAGUGCUCGAAAGAGAACCAGUACACAGGUGCUGCAUGGCUGUCGUCAGCUCGUGUCGUGAGAUGUUGGGUUAAGUCCCGCAACGAGCGCAACCCUUGUCAUUAGUUGCUACGAAAGGGCACUCUAAUGAGACUGCCGGUGACAAACCGGAGGAAGGUGGGGAUGACGUCAAGUCCUCAUGGCCCUUAUGGGUAGGGCUUCACACGUCAUACAAUGGUACAUACAGAGCGCCGCCAACCCGCGAGGGGGAGCUAAUCGCAGAAAGUGUAUCGUAGUCCGGAUUGUAGUCUGCAACUCGACUGCAUGAAGUUGGAAUCGCUAGUAAUCGCGGAUCAGCAUGUCGCGGUGAAUACGUUCCCGGGUCUUGUACACACCGCCCGUCACACCAUGGGAGCGGGUUUUACCAGAAGUAGGUAGCGUA